rnacentral:rRNA from 1 species
UACAGAGGGUGCGAGCGUUAAUCGGAUUUACUGGGCGUAAAGGGCGCGUAGGUGGUAAGGCAAGUAAGAUGUGAAAGCCCUGGGCUUAACCUGGGAAGUGCAUCUUAAACUGCCUAACUAGAGUAUGGUAGAGGGUAGUGGAAUUUCCGGUGUAGCGGUGAAAUGCGUAGAGAUCGGAAGGAACGCCAGUGGUGAAGACGACUACUUGGACCAAUACUGACACUGAGGCGCGAAAGCGUGGGGAUCAAACAGG